GACGAGCGCUGGCGGCGUGCUUAACACAUGCAAGUCGAACGCUGAAGCUCAGCUUUUGUUGGGUGGAUGAGUGGCGAACGGGUGAGUAACACGUGAGUAACCUGCCUCCUUCUUUGGGAUAACGCCCGGAAACGGGUGCUAAUACUGGAUAUUCACUGGUCUUCGCAUGGGGGUUGGUGGAAAGGGUUUUUCUGGUGGGGGAUGGGCUCGCGGCCUAUCAGCUUGUUGGUGGGGUGAUGGCCUACCAAGGCUUUGACGGGUAGCCGGCCUGAGAGGGUGACCGGUAACAUUGGGACUGAGAUACGGCCCAGACUCCUACGGGAGGCAGCAGUGGGGAAUAUUGCACAAUGGGCGCAAGCCUGAUGCAGCGACGCCGCGUGAGGGAUGGAGGCCUUCGGGUUGUGAACCUCUUUCGCUCAUGGUCAAGCCGCAACAAUGGUUGUGGUGAGGGUAGUGGGUAAAGAAGCGCCGGCUAACUACGUG
rnacentral:rRNA from 1 species